rnacentral:rRNA from 1 species
GACGAACGCUGGCGGCGUGCUUAACACAUGCAAGUCGAACGGGCCCGCUCUCUUUUUUGGGGGUGGGUUGAGUGGCGAACGGGUGAGUAUCACGUGAGUAACCUGCCCCCUGCUCCUGGAUAACUGCUUGAAAGGGCGGCUAAUACGGGGUGUGCCGGCUGGUCCGCAUGGGCCUGGUCGGGAUAGUUUCAUCUUCGGGUGUUUCGGUGGGGGAUGGGCUCGCGGCCUAUCAGCUUGUUGGUGGGGUGAUGGCCCACCAAGGCGGUGAGGGGUAGCCGGCCUGAGAGGGUGGGCGGCCACACUGGGACUGAGACACGGCCCAGACUCCUGCGGGAGGCAGCAGUGGGGGGUAUUGCACAAUGGACGGAAGCCUGAUGCAGCGACGUCGAGUGAGGGAUGGAGGCCUUCGGGUUGUGAACCUCUUUCUCCGGUGGUGAAGGCCCUGUCCGUUGCGGCGGGGUUGACGGUAGCCGGGGAUGAAGCGCCGGCUAACUACGUG